rnacentral:rRNA from 1 species
UGGCGGACGGGUGAGUAAUGUCUGGGAAACUGCCCGAUGGAGGGGGAUAACUACUGGAAACGGUAGCUAAUACCGCAUAAUGUCUACGGACCAAAGCGGGGGACCUCCGGGCCUCGCGCCAUCAGAUGAACCCAUAUGGGAUUAGCUAGUAGGUGAGGUAACGGCUUACCUAGGCGACGAUCCCUAGCUGGUCCGAGAGGAUGAUCAGCCACACUGGGACUGAGACACGGCCCAG